rnacentral:rRNA from 1 species
AUUGAACGCUGGCGGCAGGCCUAACACAUGCAAGUCGAACGGUAACAGGGAUCAGCUUGCUGAUUCGCUGACGAGUGGCGGACGGGUGAGUAAUGUCUGGGAAACUGCCUGAUGGAGGGGGAUAACUACUGGAAACGGUAGCUAAUACCGCAUAACGUCGCAAGACCAAAGAGGGGGACCUUCGGGCCUCUUGCCAUCGGAUGUGCCCAGAUGGGAUUAGCUAGUAGGUGGGGUAACGGCUCACCUAGGCGACGAUCCCUAGCUGGUCUGAGAGGAUGACCAGCCACACUGGAACUGAGACACGGUCCAGACUCCUACGGGAGGCAGCAGUGGGGAAUAUUGCACAAUGGGCGCAAGCCUGAUGCAGCCAUGCCGCGUGUAUGAAGAAGGCCUUCGGGUUGUAAAGUACUUUCAGCGGGGAGGAAGGGAGUAGAGUUAAUACCUUUGCUCAUUGACGUUACCCGCAGAAGAAGCACCGGCUAACUCCGUG